GACGAACGCUGGCGGCAUGCCUAACACAUGCAAGUCGAACGAGACCUUCGGGCCUAGUGGCGCACGGGUGCGUAACGCGUGGGAACCUGCCCUUAGGUUCGGAAUAACUCCCCGAAAGGGGUGCUAAUACCGGAUAAUGUCUUCGGACCAAAGAUUUAUCGCCUUUGGAUGGGCCCGCGUUGGAUUAGCUAGUUGGUAGGGUAAAAGCCUACCAAGGCGACGAUCCAUAGCUGGUCUGAGAGGAUGAUCAGCCACACUGGGACUGAGACACGGCCCAGACUCCUACGGGAGGCAGCAGUGGGGAAUAUUGGAGAAUGGGCGAAAGCCUGAUCCAGCAAUGCCGCGUGAGUGAUGAAGGCCUUAGGGUUGUAAAGCUCUUUUACCCGGGAUGAUAAUGACAGUACCGGGAGAAUAAGCUCCGGCUAACUCCGUG
rnacentral:rRNA from 1 species